rnacentral:rRNA from 1 species
CCGCAAGCCGAACGCAGUGAGGUGCGGUUAGGCUGCAACAAAAGAUUCCAAGCGACUGUUUACCAAAAACACAGGUCCCUGCUAAACCGUAAGGUGAUGUAUAGGGGCUGAUGCCUGGCCAGUGCCAGAACGUUAAGGAAGUGGGUCAUCUCGAUUUAUCGGGAGAAGCUCGCGACCGAAGCGCUGGUGAACGCCGGCCGUAACUAUAACGGUCCUAAGGUAGCGAAAUUCCUUGUCGGGUAAGUUCCGACCCGCACGAAUGGCAUAACGACUUGGAAACUGUCUUGACGAUGUACUCGGCGAAAUUUCAACACGAGUGAAGAUGCUCUUUACCCGCGGCUGGACGAAAAGACCCCGUGAAGCUUUACUACAACUUGACAUUGAGUUAGAAUUCCGUAUGUUCAGAAUAGGUGGGAGGUUCGACGCAAGUCGAACCGACAGUGAGAUACCACCCUUGCGUUAUUUUAUCUCUAACCCGAGACCUUGAAUCAGGUUUUGGGGACAGUGUCUGGCGGGUAGUUUAUCUGGGGCGGAUGCCUCCCAAAAAGUAACGGAGGCGUUUACAAAGGUUGGCUUGGCCCGGAUGGAAAUCGGGUUCUAAAGUGCAAACGCAUAAGCCAGCUUUACUGGAACUCCUACAAGAGGACUAGUUGCGAAAGCAGAAGUUAGUGAUCCGACCGUUCGUCAUAGGACGGCGGAAGCUCAUCGGACAAAAGCUACUCCGGGGAUAACAGGCUGAUCCUUCCCGAGCGUCCACAGCGACGGAAGGGUUUGGCACCUUAACUUAAAAUCGGGGUGCUAUUUCGAGCAAUCGAAAUACCAAAAAAUGGCUAAUAACGGUGAACUCUUAGUAAAAGAUAUUUGCAGUGGUGUAUUUUAUGUAAAUAUUUAUUUAUUGAGACAAUACCGUGGGAAGUCCGAAAAUUUCGGACCCCGUAACGACUGAUUCUCUGAUUUAUCAGAGAUGAGAUAGUAGGUACUCGAUAAUCGAGAUGUAAACUAUUAUCAUACGCCAUCUCCUAUCACAUGAAUGAUAGGAUGAAGAUAUAGUCUAACGUUACUAGUAAUAGUAAAUACGACAGCGAUGUCGGCUCGUCGCAUCCUGGGGCUGGAGAAGGUCCCAAGGGUUUGGCUGUUCGCCAAUUAAAGCGGCACGCGAGCUGGGUUCAGAACGUCGUGAGACAGUUCGGUCUCCUAUCCGCCGUGGGCGUCGAGAUUUGAGAGAACCCUUCUCUAGUAAGAAAUUGCUACUUCCACGAGUAAUUGUGGUUGACAAUUCGGCUAAUAACGGUGAAAUCUUAUAAAUAAUUCUGGUCUAUGUUAUAAUAUAUGCUAGAGGACCUUAAUUAUUAAAAGACAAUACCGUGGGAAGGCAAACUAAAUUAUCAAAAGAAGAAAAUUUUGCUUAUAUCGCAGGUUUUUUAGAUGGCGAUGGAAGCUUGAUGGUACAGUUUAAGAAAAGAAAUGAUAGUAAAAAAUUGAGAAUAAUGUUUACUAUCUGUUUAUAUCAAGAUUCUAGACACGAUAAACCUUUGUAUUGGAUACAAAAGCGAUUUAAAGUUGGAUAUAUAUCAAAGAGAAAUGAUAAUAUAACAGAAUUAAGAAUCAACGGCUAUAAAUCUGUUGGAAAAAUUCUGAAAAUAUUACAAAGAUAUAUUCGAUUUAAGCAUAAGCAAGUUUCUUUGAUUCUUAAAGCUAUAGAAAUUUUAGAAAAUACUAAAUAUAGUAGAGAUACUUUAUUGAAAGUUGCUAAAAUUUCUGAUGAAAUAGCUAAAGAAAAUUAUUUUUCUUCACAGCGUAAGUAUACUUAUGACUAUGUAAAAAAAAUAUUAGAUAAUUAGCUUGUCCCCGUAACGACUGAUCCCGAAAGGGAGAGAUGAAAGGUAACCGAUAAUCGGAUAAACAAACUUUCAUCAUACGCCGACCCCUACUCCUUUUAAAGGACAAGAGGGUGAAGAUAUAGUCUGCGCCAUUAGUGAUAAUGGAAAUACGUGACGAGAGGACCGAGAAGGACGAACCUCUAGUGUGGGAGUUGUUCUGCCAAGGGCACAGCUUCGUAGCUAAGUUCGGCACGGAUAAACGCUGAAAGCAUAUAAGCGUGAAGCCGUUCUCAAGAUUAGAUCUCAUUUAGGUUCCAGAGAGACUAUCUGGUUGAUAGGCAGCAGGUGUAAGCGCAGUAAUGCGUGUAGCCGAGCUGUACUAAUAAACCGAGCUCUUUUCCCUA